rnacentral:rRNA from 1 species
UACGUAGGGGGCAAGCGUUGUCCGGAAUCAUUGGGCGUAAAGAGCGUGUAGGCGGCCCGGUAAGUCCGCUGUGAAAGUCGAGGGCUCAACCCUCGAAUGCCGGCGGAUACUGUCGGGCUAGAGUCCGGAAGAGGCGAGUGGAAUUCCUGGUGUAGCGGUGAAAUGCGCAGAUAUCAGGAGGAACACCGGUGGCGAAGGCGCCACUCUGGGCCGAAACUGACGCUGAGGAGCGAAAGCGUGGGUAGCAAACAGG